AAUUUUCCGUCAUUUACUUUUUCAUUUGAAGACGCUAAGAGAUUGACUGAAUAAUUUUAGAACAGUAGCAGAACUCAAAUAGCGAAUAAACAACAAAUGUGGUCGAUUGAAUGUAUUCCAGUAUUCCAGGAAUUUAAACAGCAAAAUAAUAAUAGUAUAUGCGUACAUACAUAUAUUUAUAUACUUAUGUGCAAAGCAGAAGACUCGAUAGGGCCAUCACAUUAACGCAUCUGAACUGAUUGAUCAACAAUUCAUUCAAGAAACCCUUCAGCAGAUACCCAAAGUGAGCUUUGCAGCAAAUAUAAAGGCUCUAUAUGUGGUCAAAAUAUAAGUUUGUGUUGAGGUUGUAGCUACGGCCAGAGAUGUGUAAACCGAAUUGUAAUAAUGAGAAACAUUUGGCGGUAGCUUCAAAAGUGUGAAUAAAAGUGCUUG